GGUGGCUCAGUGGUAGAGUGCUUGCCUAGUAUGCAGGAAGUCCUGUGUUCGAUUCCUCAGUACCA
rfam:Dipodomys ordii contig_28671, whole genome shotgun sequence.